UCAUCCCAGUCCAUCCCAGCUCAUCCCAGUCCACCCCAGCUCAUCCCAGCUCAUCCCAGUUCAUCCCAGUCCAUCCCAGCUCAUCCCAGUCCAUCCCAGCUCAUCCCAGUUCAUCCCAGUCCAUCCCAGUCCUUCCCAGCCCCAUCCCAGCCUCAUCCCAGUCCAUCCCAGUUCAUCCCAGUCCAUCCCAGCUCAUCCCAGUCCACCCCAGCUCAUCCCAGUCCAUCCCAGUCCAUCCCAGCUCAUCCCAGUUCAUCCCAGUCCAUCCCAGCUCAUCCCAGUCCAUCCCAGCUCAUCCCAGUUCAUCCCAUCUCAUCCCAGUCCAUCCCAGUUCAUCCCAGUUCAUCCCAGUCCAUCCCACCUCAUCCCAGUUCAUCCCAGUCCAUCCCAGUCCAUCCCAGUCCAUCCCAGUCCAUCCCGCCUGCUCCUCGCUCCUCUCCCUUGGGUUUCCCAUCAGCUCCGGGCUCUGGAAUCGCCUCUGGCCGUGUCCCCGUCAACACCCGGCCCUGU